AUCGCAGCGAGAGGGAUAUCACUGGCAACACAGGCUUCAACAGUAUGAUUUCACCAUUUUGAUACUACAGCUGGUUCUCUGGUUAUGUCCCACUACAUACUUUAAUGAAGUGUGACGAAAUGGCAGAAGAACAUGAAGCUGCUUUUGAUUGUACUGGAUGGCUUCGCUUCUUCCUGUUCUGCAUCUGGCUUUUCGACAUCGGGCUGAUAUUCACUGUUAC